rnacentral:rRNA from 1 species
UACGGGGGGAGCAAGCGUUGUUCGGAUUUACUGGGCGUAAAGGGCGCGUAGGCGGCCACCGCAAGUCGACUGUGAAAUCUCCGGGCUUAACCCGGGAAAGGUCAGCCGAUACUGCGGGGCUAGAGUGCAGAAGGGGCAACUGGAAUUCUCGGUGUAGCGGUGAAAUGCGUAGAUAUCGAGAGGAACACCUGCGGCGAAGGCGGGUUGCUGGGCUGACACGUGACGCUGGACAGCGCGAAAGCUAGGGGAGCGAACAGG